rnacentral:rRNA from 1 species
GAAUCCCGUACUGCUGCUGCUCCUUUCUCCAUGCCCCAGUUGCUGCUUCUUCUUUCUCUAAUCUCCUGCUGCCAUCUCUCUUUCUCCUUUUCUUCUCUGAAUUUUCUGUAGUUUGAGACGUCUAGUCUGUAACAUUCAGAUUCUAAGAGUACUUGCUUCCUGUACUAGUUACUUCUACUGUCUAUUUUUAGUUGUUCAAUACUACUCUGUUGAUCUGUGAUACUAGUCAAGUGGCUUGUUUAAUUUGUUUACUUGUGUAACCUGAAUCAUGGUGUAGUACCCUGUUCGCAUAUGUGUGCUUAUGUGUGUUCUGUAGUCCCUGUGUUAAUUACGUUCAUGUGAAAAUAUAUAUGUUUGUGUUGUGAUAUAUUUCUGUCUCUGUCUCUGUCAUAGCAUUCUUUCUUCCCCUUUGUUACUUGUAUGAUAGUAAUAUAUGUGUUUGUGUCCCAU